rnacentral:rRNA from 1 species
AUUGAACGCUGGCGGCAUGCUUUACACAUGCCAGUCGAACGGCAGCGCGUGCUUCGGCCUGGCGGCGAGUGGCGAACGGGUGAGUAAUGCAUCGGAACGUGCCCAGUAGUGGUGGAUAGCCCGGCGAAAGCCGGAUUAAUACCGCAUACGACCUGAGGGUGAAAGCGGGGGACCGAAAGGCCUCGCGCUAUUGGAGCGGCCGAUGUCGGAUUAGCUAGUUGGUGGGGUAAAGGCUUACCAAGGCGACGAUCCGUAGCUGGUCUGAGAGGACGACCAGCCACACUGGGACUGAGACACGGCCCAGACUCCUACGGGAGGCAGCAGUGGGGAAUGUUGGACAAUGGGGGCAACACUGAUCCAGCCAUGCCGCGUGCGGGAAGAAGGCCUUCGGGUUGUAAAACGCUUUUGUGCGGGAAGAAAUCCUCUGGGCUAAUACCCCGGGGGGAUGACGGUACCGGAAGAAUAAGCACCGGCUAACUACGUG